rnacentral:rRNA from 1 species
UGUAUAAUGGGUCAGCGACUUAUAUUCUGUAGCAAGGUUAACCGAAUAGGGGAGCCGAAGGGAAACCGAGUCUUAACUGGGCGUUAAGUUGCAGGGUAUAGACCCGAAACCCGGUGAUCUAGCCAUGGGCAGGUUGAAGGUUGGGUAACACUAACUGGAGGACCGAACCGACUAAUGUUGAAAAAUUAGCGGAUGACUUGUGGCUGGGGGUGAAAGGCCAAUCAAACCGGGAGAUAGCUGGUUCUCCCCGAAAGCUAUUUAGGUAGCGCCUCGUGAAUUCAUCUCCGGGGGUAGAGCACUGUUUCGGCAAGGGGGUCAUCCCGACUUACCAACCCGAUGCAAACUGCGAAUACCGGAGAAUGUUAUCACGGGAGACACACGGCGGGUGCUAACGUCCGUCGUGAAGAGGGAAACAACCCAGACCGCCAGCUAAGGUCCCAAAGUCAUGGUUAAGUGGGAAACGAUGUGGGAAGGCCCAGACAGCCAGGAUGUUGGCUUAGAAGCAGCCAUCAUUUAAAGAAAGCGUAAUAGCUCACUGGUCGAGUCGGCCUGCGCGGAAGAUGUAACGGGGCUAAACCAUGCACCGAAGCUGCGGCAGCGACGCUGAUGCGUUGUUGGGUAGGGGAGCGUUCUGUAAGCCUGUGAAGGUGUGCUGUGAGGCAUGCUGGAGGUAUCAGAAGUGCGAAUGCUGACAUAAGUAACGAUAAAGCGGGUGAAAAGCCCGCUCGCCGGAAGACCAAGGGUUCCUGUCCAACGUUAAUCGGGGCAGGGUGAGUCGACCCCUAAGGCGAGGCCGAAAGGCGUAGUCGAUGGGAAACAGGUUAAUAUUCCUGUACUUGGUGUUACUGCGAAGGGGGGACGGAGAAGGCUAUGUUGGCCGGGCGACGGUUGUCCCGGUUUAAGCGUGUAGGCUGGUUUUCCAGGCAAAUCCGGAAAAUCAAGGCUGAGGCGUGAUGACGAGGCACUACGGUGCUGAAGCAACAAAUGCCCUGCUUCCAGGAAAAGCCUCUAAGCAUCAGGUAACAUCAAAUCGUACCCCAAACCGACACAGGUGGUCAGGUAGAGAAUACCAAGGCGCUUGAGAGAACUCGGGUGAAGGAACUAGGCAAAAUGGUGCCGUAACUUCGGGAGAAGGCACGC